rnacentral:tRNA from 1 species
GGCCGAGUGGCGGAACUGGUAUACGCGGUGGGCUUAAACCCCACUGACCUGAAAAGGCUGCGGGUUCGAAUCCCGCCUCGGUCA